GGGACACGUGGUAUCCUGUCUGAAUAUGGGGGGACCAUCCUCCAAGGCUAAAUACUCCUGACUGACCGAUAGUGAACCAGUACCGUGAGGGAAAGGCGAAAAGAACCCCGGCGAGGGGAGUGAAAAAGAACCUGAAACCGUGUACGUACAAGCAGUGGGAGCCUCUUAAUGGGGUGACUGCGUACCUUUUGUAUAAUGGGUCAGCGACUUAUAUUCUGUAGCAAGGUUAACCGAAUAGGGGAGCCGAAGGGAAACCGAGUCUUAACUGGGCGUUAAGUUGCAGGGUAUAGACCCGAAACCCGGUGAUCUAGCCAUGGGCAGGUUGAAGGUUGGGUAACACUAACUGGAGGACCGAACCGACUAAUGUUGAAAAAUUAGCGGAUGACUUGUGGCUGGGGGUGAAAGGCCAAUCAAACCGGGAGAUAGCUGGUUCUCCCCGAAAGCUAUUUAGGUAGCGCCUCGUGAAUUCAUCUCCGGGGGUAGAGCACUGUUUCGGCAAGGGGGUCAUCCCGACUUACCAACCCGAUGCAAACUGCGAAUACCGGAGAAUGUUAUCACGGGAGACACACGGCGGGUGCUAACGUCCGUCGUGAAGAGGGAAACAACCCAGACCGCCAGCUAAGGUCCCAAAGUCAUGGUUAAGUGGGAAACGAUGUGGGAAGGCCCAGACAGCCAGGAUGUUGGCUUAGAAGCAGCCAUCAUUUAAAGAAAGCGUAAUAGCUCACUGGUCGAGUCGGCCUGCGCGGAAGAUGUAACGGGGCUAAACCAUGCACCGAAGCUGCGGCAGCGACACUAUGUGUUGUUGGGUAGGGGAGCGUUCUGUAAGCCUGUGAAGGUGUGCUGUGAGGCAUGCUGGAGGUAUCAGAAGUGCGAAUGCUGACAUAAGUAACGAUAAAGCGGGUGAAAAGCCCGCUCGCCGGAAGACCAAGGGUUCCUGUCCAACGUUAAUCGGGGCAGGGUGAGUCGACCCCUAAGGCGAGGCCGAAAGGCGUAGUCGAUGGGAAACAGGUUAAUAUUCCUGUACUUGGUGUUACUGCGAAGGGGGGACGGAGAAGGCUAUGUUGGCCGGGCGACGGUUGUCCCGGUUUAAGCGUGUAGGCUGGUUUUCCAGGCAAAUCCGGAAAACCAAGGCUGAGGCGUGAUGACGAGGCACUACGGUGCUGAAGCGACAAAUGCCCUGCUUCCAGGAAAAGCCUCUAAGCAUCAGGUAACAUCAAAUCGUACCCCAAACCGACACAGGUGGUCAGGUAGAGAAUACCAAGGCGCUUGAGAGAACUCGGGUGAAGGAACUAGGCAAAAUGGUGCCGUAACUUCGGGAGAAGGCACGCUGAUAUGUAGGUGAAGCGACUUGCUCGUGGAGCUGAAAUCAGUCGAAGAUACCAGCUGGCUGCAACUGUUUAUUAAAAACACAGCACUGUGCAAACACGAAAGUGGACGUAUACGGUGUGACGCCUGCCCGGUGCCGGAAGGUUAAUUGAUGGGGUUAGCGGUAACGCGAAGCUCUUGAUCGAAGCCCCGGUAAACGGCGGCCGUAACUAUAACGGUCCUAAGGUAGCGAAAUUCCUUGUCGGGUAAGUUCCGACCUGCACGAAUGGCGUAAUGAUGGCCAGGCUGUCUCCACCCGAGACUCAGUGAAAUUGAACUCGCUGUGAAGAUGCAGUGUACCCGCGGCAAGACGGAAAGACCCCGUGAACCUUUACUAUAGCUUGACACUGAACAUUGAGCCUUGAUGUGUAGGAUAGGUGGGAGGCUUUGAAGUGUGGACGCCAGUCUGCAUGGAGCCGACCUUGAAAUACCACCCUUUAAUGUUUGAUGUUCUAACGUUGGCCCGUAAUCCGGGUUGCGGACAGUGUCUGGUGGGUAGUUUGACUGGGGCGGUCUCCUCCUAAAGAGUAACGGAGGAGCACGAAGGUUGGCUAAUCCUGGUCGGACAUCAGGAGGUUAGUGCAAUGGCAUAAGCCAGCUUGACUGCGAGCGUGACGGCGCGAGCAGGUGCGAAAGCAGGUCAUAGUGAUCCGGUGGUUCUGAAUGGAAGGGCCAUCGCUCAACGGAUAAAAGGUACUCCGGGGAUAACAGGCUGAUACCGCCCAAGAGUUCAUAUCGACGGCGGUGUUUGGCACCUCGAUGUCGGCUCAUCACAUCCUGGGGCUGAAGUAGGUCCCAAGGGUAUGGCUGUUCGCCAUUUAAAGUGGUACGCGAGCUGGGUUUAGAACGUCGUGAGACAGUUCGGUCCCUAUCUGCCGUGGGCGCUGGAGAACUGAGGGGGGCUGCUCCUAGUACGAGAGGACCGGAGUGGACGCAUCACUGGUGUUCGGGUUGUCAUGCCAAUGGCACUGCCCGGUAGCUAAAUGCGGAAGAGAUAAGUGCUGAAAGCAUCUAAGCACGAAACUUGCCCCGAGAUGAGUUCUCCCUGAGACUUAGAGUCUCCUGAAGGAACGU
rnacentral:rRNA from 1 species